rnacentral:rRNA from 1 species
CCCCUAGAUGUUCUGGGCCGCACGCGCGCUACACUGAACAGUUCAACAAGUCUUAACCUUGGCCGAUAGGUCUGGGUAAUCUUUGAACGCUGUUCGUGAUUGGGAUAGACAUUUGCAAUUAUGGGUCUUCAACGAGGAAUUCCUAGUAAACGCAAGUCAUCAGCUUGCAUUGAUUACGUCCCUGCCCUUUGUACACACCGCCCGUCGCACCUACCGAUUGAAUGGUCCGGUGAAAUCUCGGGACGGCGGCUUGGUCGCUUGCGUCCGACUGCUGAAACUUGAUUAAACCAUAUCAUUUAGAGGAAGGUGAANUCGUAACA